rnacentral:rRNA from 1 species
UACGUAGGGUGCGAGCGUUGUCCGGAAUUAUUGGGCGUAAAGCGCACGUAGGCGGAUUGCUAAGUCAGGGGUGAAAUCCUGGAGCUCAACUCCAGAACUGCCUUUGAUACUGGCGACCUUGAGUCCGGGAGAGGUGAGUGGAACUGCGAGUGUAGAGGUGAAAUUCGUAGAUAUUCGCAAGAACACCAGUGGCGAAGGCGGCUCACUGGCCCGGUACUGACGCUGAGGUGCGAAAGCGUGGGGAGCAAACAGG